rnacentral:lncRNA from 1 species
UCUUUCCCACCUCAAAAGCAAGCCAAUAAGGUCCUUUGCCCUUCUACAACUAAUGUGAGACUAUUCAACAAUCUCCCCCCUUCACAAGUUGGUGUCCCUCAGCCCUCCAUCGCCCCUUCACCGUUUCCCCACGGUCCCUUAGGUAUACGGGCCCUGCAGGCACCACGAUUCAUCAGGCCUUCACACACUAUGUCUCUCGAGCUAGAGAUAUUGAACUAG